CCUACGGGGCGCAGCAGUCGGGAAUAUUGCGCAAUGGAGGAAACUCUGACGCAGUGACGCCGCGUGCAGGAAGAAGGUUUUCGGAUUGUAAACUGUUUUAGACAGGGAAGAUACAAGACAGUACCUGUAAAAUAAGCUCCGGCUAACUACGUGCCAGCAGCCGCGGUAAUACGUAGGGAGCAAGCGUUAUCCGGAUUUAUUGGGUUUAAAGGGUGCGUAGGCGGAUUGAUAAGUUAGAGGUGAAAUGUCCGAGCUCAACUCGGGAACUGCCUCUAAUACUGUUGAUCUAGAGAGUAGAUGCGGUA
rnacentral:rRNA from 1 species